rnacentral:rRNA from 1 species
AUACGUAGGUGGCAAGCGUUGUCCGGAAUUAUUGGGCGUAAAGCGCGCGCAGGUGGUUCCUUAAGUCUGAUGUGAAAGCCCCCGGCUCAACCGGGGAGGGUCAUUGGAAACUGGGGAACUUGAGUGCAGAAGAGGAUAGUGGAAUUCCAAGUGUAGCGGUGAAAUGCGUAGAGAUUUGGAGGAACACCAGUGGCGAAGGCGACUGUCUGGUCUGUAACUGACACUGAGGCGCGAAAGCGUGGGGAGCAAACAGGAUUAGAUACCCUGGUAGUCCACGCCGUAAACGAUGAGUGCUAAGUGUUGGGGGGUUUCCGCCCCUCAGUGCUGCAGCUAACGCAUUAAGCACUCCGCCUGGGGAGUACGGUCGCAAGGUUGAAACUCAAAUGAAUUGACGGGG